UACAGAGGUCUCAAGCGUUGUUCGGAUUCAUUGGGCGUAAAGGGUGCGUAGGUGGCGCCAUAAGUCAGGUGUGAAAUCUCGGGGCUCAACCCCGAAACUGCACUUGAUACUGUGGUGCUGGAGUACUGGAGAGGAGAUUGGAAUUUACGGUGUAGCAGUAAAAUGCGUAGAUAUCGUAAGGAAGACCAGUGGCGAAGGCGGGUCUCUGGGCAGUAACUGACGCUGAGGAGCGAAAGCGUGGGGAGCGAACAGG
rnacentral:rRNA from 1 species